rnacentral:rRNA from 1 species
ACAGAGGACUGCCCCGGUAUUUACCGGGGAGGAAGGAGAGGAUGAUGUCAAGUCAGCAUGUCCCUUACAUCUGGGGCUACACACAUCCUACAAUGGAGCCGACAACGGGUAGCGACGGGGUAACCCUGAGCCAAUCCUUCAAACGGCCCCUCAGUUCGGAUUGAGGGCUGCAAUUCGCCCUCAUGAAGUCGGAAUCGGUAGUAAUCGCAAAUCAGCAGGUUGCGGUGAAUACGUUCUCGCUCCUUGUACACACUGCCCGUCAAGCCAGCAAAGUCAGCAACGCCCGAAGCGGGUGACCAUAACUUCAGUUUACUGAAGAGUGGCCCUUCUACGGCGAGGUUGGCGAUGAGGACUAAGUCGUAACAAGGUAUCUGUACUGGAAGGUGCGGAUGGAUCACCUCCUUU